GAUGAACGCUGGCGGCGUGCCUAAUACAUGCAAGUCGAGCGAACAGACGAGGAGCUUGCUCCUCUGACGUUAGCGGCGGACGGGUGAGUAACACGUGGAUAACCUACCUAUAAGACUGGGAUAACUUCGGGAAACCGGAGCUAAUACCGGAUAAUAUAUUGAACCGCAUGGUUCAAUAGUGAAAGACGGUUUUGCUGUCACUUAUAGAUGGAUCCGCGCCGCAUUAGCUAGUUGGUAAGGUAACGGCUUACCAAGGCAACGAUGCGUAGCCGACCUGAGAGGCGGGUCGGCCACACUGGAACUGAGACACGGUCCAGACUCCUACGGGAGGCAGCAGUAGGGAAUCUUCCGCAAUGGGCGAAAGCCUGACGGAGCAACGCCGCGUGAGUGAUGAAGGUCUUCGGAUCGUAAAACUCUGUUAUUAGGGAAGAACAAAUGUGUAAGUAACUAUGCACGUCUUGACGGUACCUAAUCAGAAAGCCACGGCUAACUACGUG
rnacentral:rRNA from 1 species